rnacentral:rRNA from 1 species
GCCCAACAGCUAGCCCACUUAAACAAUUUCAACUACCCCUGUUAAUAACCCCUAAGUACCCCCAUAUUUAAAUUAAACAAACCAUUUUUCCCCCUGAGUAUAGGUGAUAGAAAGGGGACAAGGCGCGAUAGAGAAAGUACCGCAAGGGAAUGCUGAAAGAGAAAUGAAAUAACCCAGUAAAGCCUUAAAAAGCAGAGAUUCAACCUCGUACCUUUUGCAUCAUGAUUUAGCAAGUGUACAUCAAGCAAAGAGCACUUUAGUUUGACGCCCCGAAACUAAGUGAGCUACUCCAAGACAGCCUGUUAAUAGGGCGUACCCGUCUCUGUGGCAAAAGAGUGGGGAGAGCUUUGAGUAGAGGUGAUAAACCUACCGAACCUAGUUAUAGCUGGUUGUCCAAGAAAUGAAUAGGAGUUCAGCCUCUUGACUUCUUUUUUCACCCUAGUCUAACCCCUAUUGAUGCAUUAAAGAAAUCGAGAGAGUUAGUCAAAGGGGGUACAGCCCCUUUGAAUCAAGACACAACUUUAUCAGGAGGGU